CCCGGGCCUUGUACACACCGCCCGUCACACCACGAAAGUCGGUAACACCCGAAGCCAGUGGCCCAACCGCAAGGGAGGGAGCUGUCGAAGGUGGGAUCGGCGAUUGGGGUG
rnacentral:rRNA from 1 species